rnacentral:rRNA from 1 species
AGAAUCAACGCUGGCGGCGUGCCUAACACAUGCAAGUCGAACGAGAAAGUGGAGCAAUCCAUGAGUAAAGUGGCGACCGGGUGAGUAACACGUGACUAACCUACCUUUCAGUGGGGAAUAACCUCGGGAAACCGGGGCUAAUACCGCAUAAUGUCUACGGACCAAAGGAGCAAUUCGCUGGAAGAGGGGGUCGCGGCCGAUUAGCUAGUUGGCGGGGUAACGGCCCACCAAGGCAAUGAUCGGUAG